GGACCCGUAGUCGAGUGGUUAAGACGUUCCCCUGACACGGGAAAGAUCCCCAGUUCAAUUCUGGGCGGGUCCA
rnacentral:tRNA from 1 species